rnacentral:lncRNA from 1 species
UGAGGUCACAUGAUCUGGCAGGUCUGUAUUAGGUGAGCUUUGGUUUCGUUUGAAACUGUCUGCUGCCCGGACCCUCGAGAUAAGACCCCAUCUCUCAUUCUUCCUGGUGAGACCUCAGGAAUCUACUAGUCAUGGCUGACACAGAAGAAGUCAUGGAGGAGGAAGUUCAUGUAGUGGAGGAAACCGAAGAGGAAGAGCCUGCGGAAGUAGAAGGUAAUUAUUUCAGUUCUUAUUAAUAUCAUGGUUAUUUGUAUAUACAAGUGUCUGUAAAUCUUCAUUCUUUUUAACCACUUAUAACUAUCCCAUAUCUGAACAGAGGAGCCAGAACCUGAACCACAAGGUAAAGCUCCUCAGGUUUAUAUUCAUUCAUAGAAUAUAGAUUAAGAGCGAAACAUUUAGCAAGAGUUUCCAGAUAUGGAGAUGGAGGGGGGACGAAAUGUGAUAAUCUGAAUUGAAUCAACUGCAUGAUGUGUCAUUGUGAAGGCUGGAGGACAGAAACGGUUUAUUUGUAAGGUUUGUAUGUCAUGAUGUAACA